GACGAACGCUGGUGGCGUGCCUAAUACAUGCAAGUCGAGCGGACCAAUAGAAGCUUGCUUCUGUUGGUUAGCGGCAGACGGGUGAGUAACACGUGGGCAACCUGCCUGUAAGACUGGGAUAACUUCGGGAAACCGGAGCUAAUACCGGAUAAUUCAUCCCCUCGCAUGAGGGGAUGCUGAAAGUCGGUUUACGCUGACACUUACAGAUGGGCCCGCGGCGCAUUAGCUAGUUGGUGAGGUAAUGGCUCACCAAGGCGACGAUGCGUAGCCGACCUGAGAGGGGGAUGGGCCACAAUGGGACUGAGACCCGGCCCAGACUCCUACGGGAGGCAGCAGUAGGGAAUCUUCCACAAUGGACGAAAGUCUGAUGGAGCAACGCCGCGUGAGCGAUGAAGGCCUUCGGGUCGUAAAGCUCUGUUGUUAGGGAAGAACAAGUAUCGGAGUAACUGCCGGUACCUUGACGGUACCUAACCAGAAAGCCACGGCUAACUACGUGCCAGCCGCCGCGGUAAAAC
rnacentral:rRNA from 1 species